CAUUACAAGCAUAAAAACAGACUACUGACAUUGCCAACAGAUGUCGAGCCAGUUUAUUUUUUGCCAUUACAACUCCAGUAGGGAAUGAAGCAGCAGGUGGAAAAGACGCAGUCCUGUAGUUUUUCUUCUUUAGCAUCCAGACGAUCUGUGCUGCUGAAUCAUCAAUUGCCAUGCUAUGUUCUUUUCAAAUACAUCAUGGGAAUAAGGCUGGGUGUCAAACCUUAAUCCUUUUGAGUACCUCAUCUGUAACUGUCAAAUAGAGAGCCUGACAUUUAAUUUCUAGUUUAGUUUAAUCUAGUUUAGUUAGACAUCUAGUUUGUUUGCUCUGGUAAUUACCAACAUCAAGGAGGCGGAUUUGAGGCUCUUUGAGGCUCAAAUGUCUGUCUGUCUGUCCAUUUGCACCAUAAUGAAAUAAGACUGACCACAAUAAUACAUUUUAAAAAAUGCAUUGGGUUACAUUGAUGAAGUAAUGUAAAGUCAUAUUAGGGCCAUGACAAUAAAAACGUGUUUUAACCAUUUAGGAUAUAAGAGGUUCAAAUGGGAAAGAGAUGCUUGUUGGUGGGUUUACAGUUUACAGUCAGCCGCAUGGCCAGUAAAACCCCUCCUUUUCUGUUAAUGAGCCCGGAGACAUGGCUUUCAGAGGCCCCCAGCCGGAGCUGGACCAAAUCAAAGCAUCCACAGGGAUUGAGGCUCCGAGCCAAAAGGUUUACUUGAGGGAAAGGAGUUUGGUCGCUUCACUGGCACAAGACCAAGGAGAGAAGCUUUUAGAGCAACAAUAGGGAAAUUAUUGGAGUAAUUUGACUAGAACCACAAUUCUGUUUUAUAAUUAUUGUGGUUCUCGUGGUUCUAUUCCAGGUAAGUGCCAUUUUGGUGAGCCACAGUCAGGAGCAGCAGAGUUUUCCAGACACCGCAUCAUGAAACAGGUUUCUCACAUAACUCAAGGGAAAGUGACUGCUGCAAGGUCAGAACGUUGGCUUGGCAGACAUCCAGAGACAGUGGAGCUCCUCUGCUCCUUGUGGACCCUUCCAUUGUCUGGAGAUAUCCAGAAUAGAGCAGAGAAGACAUCUAUGGUCCUGGUUGUUGUAGGUCCCAAAAGCACAAUUUGGGCACACGCAUCAAGAGACUCAAUUCAGUCAACAGCUCCUCACUAACCACAAUAAAGCACCAGAUAAUCAUGACAAAAGAUCUUGGGCUUACAAGAGAUCAAAAUGCAAAUCUGAUCUCUCAGGGUUAGCAGAGUAUUCCCUUUGCCCUGCCACAAGUGUCUGAUUUAUUAAUCAUAAUAAAGUGCAGACUAAGGGUGAUAUUCACCACCAAAACGAGAAAGACACAGAGAGAAACUAUUUGAUAUUCUGACAGAAAAAAACAGAGCAAAUCUGUUCUGUGCUACUAAGGCCUGCUGAGGCAGCCCCCUCUGCCACUGCAGCAAUAACAACAUGUGGUUUGGCUGCACAGCACCAGUUUACAGUGGGAAGAGAAGGGGCGCUAAAUUAAUUUCAGAUUCUGUGGGAGAGUCAUAAACAAAGCACGACAUCCAGAGAGGGAGCUGCAGUGUUUGGUCACAAUUUUAGAAAACACUUUAUCAGCAUCUCCUGAGAGUUUUUGGAAAAUUAUUAUUAGAAAUAAUACAAACAUAAUUUGCAUUGUUCUGGUAGCAGGCAUGGCAUGUAUUUUGAAAGGAGAAUCACAGUCUAUCGCAGUUAUUUUGGAGGAGAAUACGAGAAUAAUAGUUUUUUCUCACCAAAUUUAUUUUGGUCCUGAUCUUAAUAGAUUAAAACCGACAUGACAGAUUGCUGUUUGUUUUCAGCUAGAGAGAAAACUUUGGUUUAAUGAGUAAAUUCUUGGCCUGAGCAUGUUAAAAAGGGAAGGCUUUUUUUUAUUAAUGUCAGUUUAAGUAGGGCUGUCCUCAGAGGUCUGAUUCGGCCUUUCUCACGAGGCUCCCGAACCAUAAUCUCUUGAAAUAUUUGUACAGAUGACGGCAGCACUUGGCUGUUUUGACAUGGAGCAGCAUAAGCAAGAUCUUGCACUCACUUUUUCCAUCACUUUUCUGUUCAGGAACAGGAAUUCCCCCUCUUCCCGCUUUUCCCCACAAGCUACUCACACAUCUCUAACCAGCCCAGCGUAUAACCCUCCCAGCAGUCCUUCCUCCACUUCCUCAGCCUGCUAGGAUUUGUCCAAUCAGGGCAACACGGUGGGGGCCUUUACAACCCGCUUCACAGCUAGCUCCUGCAGUCUAUGCUUUCCACUCAUUCAAGCAUAUUGUUUUCACUCUAUCAGAGAUGCCAAAAUAUGUUCACCAAGAUCAGAGGUGGAUCACAGAUGCUGGAGGUGUUAUGAGGAGUUUGUCUCCCUGGUCUGCUUGGUUCAGUGUGUUUGGAUAAAAUGAUACGAUUUAUGGUACAGAAACUGUUUAGCCAAAAAUCCUAGGACAAGUUACUGUUGUGUGAGUAGAAUCUGUUCAAGGGCCGUAAAACAUUCUGACAUUAAAUGUGCUGUUGCAUCAUGAGAACUAAAAAAUUCAAAGGUCCAUCUCUGCAGCUGUUUUGCUAGAUCUAACCUACUGACAAACACAUCACUGCUGUUUGUUUUUUUUUUUUUUUAUUUCCUUUUUCCUAAGUACAUGCUUGAAUGUGCAUGUCUCUCUGCAGACAAUGCCGACACAAAAGUCUACUGACACUCACGGGUUGGCAGCCCUGCAGGAAUCUCUUCCCAAUUGGUGCCGUGGGGCUCCUUCCAAGCCACUUGAACUUGGCAGGGUUUACCUGGAAGAGCCUACCCGUACGCCUGCACACGCUCUCCAUCUCAGCCAAGACAGGAGGCCUCAAUGUAAACUACGGCAGCUGAAGUCAGCCACAGGAAGAAGGAGGUGAGCCGAGCAAUGUAUCCGCUGCCGCACCCCUGAGCUCUCGACCACACAAAGAGUCGAUCCAGCAGCUGUCAAACAACACUAUCUUUGGGUAUCGUCCAGUUUGUGCUCGCCUCCUGGAUCCGUGGUCUCUGGUUGGCUCGUGUGUUUGGCUACGGUGCAUCUGCUGCAACAACAUCCUUUUGGCCAGAGUUCAGACCCGUGAAAGGCUACAAUAGCCUGAAGGUGGCUGCCCAGACCAUUGUUUAUGCAACAGCUCACUACUGCCAGGUUAAAGGGGAAGGGAGCAGAAGAUGAAUUUUAAAGGGCUUCUAAAUAAAAGGAGCCACAUAGAUAUCAUUCAUAAGAUACUUUCUGCUGCCAAUUACACUUAUAUUCAAUAAUAAUAAUGGGCACUGGGUUUAAUUAUAGUGUUUUACAAAUUGCAAUUUUGUUUAAAGAAGAAAUAAAAUGUUAAGAUUUUAUGAAUUUUCAUUGUAACUACAGUAGAGAAGCUAACCAAAUCCAUCAAAUCGAGUGAGACCCACAUAACAGCUGUUCGGUAAACAUACCAGAGUAAUUGUGUGUGAAAAGCCUUACUUUAACAGAUUUUAAACAGAGAUUAAAUGCAAUUAGAGGUCAUUUAUCGGACCACAACAGGACCCUGGACCAAAUGAACAUCCUCUGUCAUUGUUUCUAACAGUUCUACAGAAUCUAGGCGUAUUUCAGCUUGGAAUGUGAUGGCCUUUUUUUUCCACCAGCGAAGCUUCCUUGUGUACAGGAAGGAACAUUAAUACAAAGAAAACAUGUGGUCCUCACAGAGAAUGUAUAUAAUAAUAAAAAAAAAAACCUUCAGCUUAAGGUCUUCUGAGGUGAAUAUGAGGAAUUUAGGUCAGUGAAGCUGAGAAGUUUAACCAGCUCAAGCCGCUGCAGCCUGGGUGGAAAUAGCAUGGGAGGCCAGUGAGGGGGAAAACAGUGCGUCACAGCUCCCGGCUUGAUUCCAGACUCCCCCUGACGCAAACAACGGCCAUAACUAUCCAAAUCAUCUUUGACCAUGUACGCCUUGAACACUUUCCGCCAACAGGCAGCACUUCCUCCUAACCUUUGACCUUGGAGAGGGUGUGCCCACCUUGGACUGUACACAAAGCAAAGAGAAUGUGAGCACAGCUGUGAUUGGCAAAUCUGUGAUGUUUGAGUACACAGUUGCCUAAAAUCUGUAAUCCAAGUAUACAUAAAGUCUUAUCUGCAGCAGCCCUAAAAUCUGUAAAAAUCCCUUUUUAACACUGAACAAAUCUCUUAAUAUGUUUAAUAUUGGCCAAAUCCUGAUUCUCUGACACACUUAGGCGUUCACAUUUUCACUUGCCUCCUGCACACAAGGCUUUGAUUCAGAAACCUCGCUAACACACACACACACACACACACACAUUAUGAACAGUCUUUAUUGAGAUGUAAGUGCUUAUAUAAACAUGGACAAGCCCUAUUGAGGGUUCAGGCUGGGGCUGAACAAUAAGAGGGUAAAAGUUGUUGGACGUUCCUCACAGACGUACAAAAUCCAAUUAUCAGAGCCAUGGCGUUAACAUUCCAACAGUCUGGCAGGUGACGGAUCGGCCUUUUCAGGGCCCCCCUCCCACACAGACUGGAACAGCGGCACCGCCACAAUACACACACACACACACAAAAUCUCCUAAGCUCCGUUGAUCUAAGAUCCUCAAGUAUUGAGACAUAUAGAGGGAAGAAGGCAAAGCGUAGGGAGGCAGUUGGGGUCUGGGGGUCUGCCACAGCCACUGGUCUUUUCUUUGAGAGAUCAGCACAAUCCGCCCAGCAAGCCAUAUCAGUCAAUGGGGCAUUCUUCUCUCUGCCUCUGGGUGAGAAAAUGCUGAUUGCUGAUAACACUGCUUUGAUUGCCAUAAUGGGAAAACAACUUUUUGUUUGCCGCAUUUGCCUCUAAACAAUAAGUGCCUUGUCGACCCUGAGCGAUGUUAGUGGCACACAAGAUGCUGAUUACGUUAACGGUAUAACAAAAAUCUUGCUCUCGGCCAGAGUGUGGUAAAGUGUUAAAAAAUGUUUCAAAAUUCUGCAUUUUUUGAGGUUCUGGUUGGUAAAUAAUUUGUUUAAUUGCUUUUGCAUUAAACCCCUAGAGGUAUCAUGAAGUUCGGGAUCAGUAAAAUAUUUUUUAAAAUUUCUUUCCUUUAAAAAAGCUACAUAUAUGCAGUUUUUAUCACAUUUAGAGACAGUGUACGUGACUGGGCCCAUGUGAUAUGCAGGGCAUCUGCCUACUGUCCUGCCCCCUGGUCAUCUCCUAAUAAGAGUUAACAUAUUUAAAUAUGUGUAGAGAGAGUUGCUGAACAAGAUACACACACUAUGGAACAUAAUUAUUCUCUCUUUUUUUUUUCUCAGAUGACAAAAAAAUCUAAAAACAUUUUUUAUAAAUACAUAUGUGUUGAAACAUAUUUUUAAAAUUUUGAUAUUUUUUCAGUUGGUCUUUAUACAAAUGUGAUUAAUAAUCUUCUAAUUUAUCCUCAGCACAAUGUUUAAUAAAUCAUUUGUUUCUGUGUAUAAACUAAAUUAAAAUGAUUUUUUUUGUAAGCCGACUUCCUGUGUUUUCAUUUAACUUCAUAAAUAACAUUUCAAAGUUUUAAAGUUGCCACUUUUUCCACUUCACUUGUAAGUCCACCUGCUCUACAUUGUACUCACUCACGUUUUCUCCUCUUCUGUGUUUUUGCUGUCCUCCUGCACACUGCAAUGCGAGUCAAGUGCCUUGUGGCUUUCUCCACCCUCACCAGAAAGCCUGCAUGCAGUUAAUUAUUCUUGGAUGGUGGUUGCAAAAAAAAAGGAAUUCUUUCUUUUUUUCACUCACUCAGCAGCGGUUUCCCAUUCAUAAUAGUUGGCACUGGUUCUGCACUCCCUGCCAGAGAUCACACCCCAACCAUUUUCAUUUUCCUUCAUCCAUUUGUUUCAUUCAUGU